UACGGAGGAUGCAAGCGUUAUCCGGAAUCACUGGGCGUAAAGGGCUCGUAGGCGGCCAACUAAGUCAUACGUGAAAUCCCUCAGCUUAACUGGGGAACUGCGUGUGAUACUGGAUGGCUUGGAUUUGGGAGAGGGAUGCGGAAUUCCAGGUGUAGCGGUGAAAUGCGUAGAUAUUGGGAAGAACACCGAUGGCGAAGGCAGCCAUCUGGACCGACACUGACGCUGAGGCGCGAAAGCGUGGGGAGCAAACAGG
rnacentral:rRNA from 1 species